GAUGAACGCUGGCGGCGUGCCUAAUACAUGCAAGUCGAGCGAACGGACGAGAAGCUUGCUUCUCUGAUGUUAGCGGCGGACGGGUGAGUAACACGUGGAUAACCUACCUAUAAGACUGGGAUAACUUCGGGAAACCGGAGCUAAUACCGGAUAAUAUUUUGAACCGCAUGGUUCAAAAGUGAAAGACGGUCUUGCUGUCACUUAUAGAUGGAUCCGCGCUGCAUUAGCUAGUUGGUAAGGUAACGGCUUACCAAGGAAACGAUGCAUAGCCGACCUGAGAGGGUGAUCGGCCACACUGGAACUGAGACACGGUCCAGACUCCUACGGGAGGCAGCAGUAGGGAAUCUUCCGCAAAGGGCGAAAGCCUGACGGAGCAACGCCGCGUGAGUGAUGAAGGUCUUCGGAUCGUAAAACUCUGUUAUUAGGGAAGAACAUAUGUGUAAGUAACUGUGCACAUCUUGACGGUACCUAAUCAGAAAGCCACGGCUAACUACGUG
rnacentral:rRNA from 1 species